UUUCUCGACUCAGACGACAUGAAGAGACACCUCACCAUCCACACAGGAGAGAGGSUGAGCCACGUCUGUCACCAGUGUGGGAAGACUUUCACCAGUGUGGGAGGGCUGAAGAAACACCAGAUGACCCACACAGGAGAGAAGCCGUUCCAGUGUUCAGAGUGUGGGAAAGGUUUCACUGCGCAGGGUAACCUCAAGAUCCACCAGCGCAUCCACACAGGUCAGUUAUAUAGUGUGGGAAAGGUUUCACUGCGCAGGGUAACCUCAAGAUCCACCAGCGCAUCCACACAGGUCCGUUUAUAUAG